CGCCCGGGAACUACGAGCAAAGCUUAAAACCCAAAGGACUUGACGGUGCCCCAUAUCCCCCUAGAGGAGCCUGUCCUAUAAUCGAUGAUCCCCGUUCAACCUCACCACUUCUAGCUUAUCAGCCUGUAUACUUCCGUCGUAAGUUUACCACGUGAGCGAUAACUCAGUAAGUCUAACGUCCUACACACUUAUUUUACCGACAAUACGUCAGGUCAAAGUGCAGCAAAUGAAGUGGGAAGAGAUUGGCUACACUUUUUAACAUAAAAGAAAACGAAAGACAAUAAUGAAACUUUGUCCGAAGGCGGAUUUAGCAGUAAAAAAAAUUCAAAACAUUUAUUUUAACUUAGCACUGGGGUGUGU
rnacentral:rRNA from 1 species